GCCUAGUUAGCUUAGUUGGUAGUGCGUCUGCCUCGUAAGCGCUAGGCCGCGGGUACGAUUCCCGCCCGGGGCG
rnacentral:tRNA from 1 species